AGGACAAACGCUGGCGGGGUGCAUGAGACAUGCAAGUCGAACGGGGUGCCAUCGGGCUUGCUCGAUGGUUACCUAGUGGCGGACGGCUGAGUAACGCGUAGGUGACCUACCCGGAAGUGGGGAAUAACUGCCCGAAAGGGUGGCUAAUACCGCAUGUGGUCGGCGAUUCGAUUCGCCGUCUAAAGGAGAAAUCCGCUUCCGGCGGGGCCUGCGUCCGAUUAGCUAGUUGGUGGGGUAACGGCUCACCAAGGCGACGAUCGGUAGCUGGUCUGAGAGGAUGAUCAGCCAGACUGGGACUGAGAACGGCCCAGACUCCUACGGGAGGCAGCAGUCGGGAAUUUGCCCAAUGGACGAAAGUCUGAGGCAGCAACUCCGCGUGAGGGAUGAAGGCUCUCGGGUCGUAAACCUCUUUUCUCUAGGAAGAUCCAAGACGGUACCUGAGGAAUAAGCGACGGCUAACUACGUGCCAGCAGCCGC
rnacentral:rRNA from 1 species